AAGUAAUUAAGGGCAUACGGUGGAUGCCUUGGCUCCUGGAGGCGAUGAAGGACGUGAUAAGCUGCGAUAAGCCACGGGGAGGUGCAAAUAACCUGCGAUCCGUGGAUCUCCGAAUGGGGCAACCCGUCAUGCUGAUGGCAUGACAUCCUUCUGCAAAGAAGGAGGCUAACCCGGGGAACUGAAACAUCUAAGUACCCGGAGGAAAAGAAAACAAUAGUGAUUCCCUGAGUAGCGGCGAGCGAAACGGGAACAGCCCAAACCAAUAAUGUUUCGGCAUUAUUGGGGUUGUAGGACUGCAACGUGGACUGGCAAAACUUAGCAGAAGACUUCUGGAAAGCUGCACCAUAGAGGGUGAUAGUCCCGUAUGCGAAAAGUUUUGCCUACCUAGCAGUAUCCUGAGUAGGGCGGGGCACGUGAAACCCUGUCUGAAUCUGCCGGGACCAUCCGGUAAGGCUAAAUACUCCCAGGAGACCGAUAGCGAACUAGUACCGUGAGGGAAAGGUGAAAAGCAUCCCGAACAGGGAGGUGAAAUAGAACCUGAAACCGUAUGCUUACAAGCUGUAGGAGUUCGCCUUUGGCGAAUGACUGCGUGCCUUUUGCAUAAUGACCCUACGAGUUACUCUUCACUGGCAAGGUUAAUCCGCUCUAGCGGAGAAGCCGAAGCGAAAGCGAGUCUUAACAGGGCGUAUAGUCAGUGGAGGUAGACGCGAAACCAAGUGAUCUACCCAUGGCCAGGUUGAAGUCUCGGUAACACGAGAUGGAGGACCGAACCAGUGAACGUUGAAAAGUUCUUGGAUGAGCUGUGGGUAGGGGUGAAAGGCUAAUCAAACUUGGAGAUAGCUCGUACUCCCCGAAAUGCAUUUAGGUGCAGCCUCGUGGUUGAGUGUCAUGGAGGUAGAGCUACCGAUUGGGCUAGGGGGCUUCACCGCCUACCAAACCCUGACGAACUCCGAAUGCCAUGACAUAUACACGGGAGUGAGGGCAUGGGCGCUAAGGUCCUUGUCCGAGAGGGAAACAACCCAGACCAUCAGCUAAGGUCCCUAAAUGUGUGCUAAGUUGAUAAAACGUGGUCCGACUGCUUUGACAGCUAGGAUGUUGGCUUGGAAGCAGCCAUUCAUUUAAAGAGUGCGUAACAGCUCACUAGUCGAGCGGUUGGGCGUGGAUAAUAAUCGGGCAUAAAGUGCACUACCGAAGCUGUGGAUUCCGACUUUGUCGGAGUGGUAGGGGAGCAUUCCGGUCUGCGUCGAAGGUGUGUCGCGAGGCAUGCUGGAGCGUCCGGAAAAGAAAAUGUAGGGAUAAGUAACGAUAAAUCCUGUGAAAAACAGGAUCACCGCAAAGCCAAGGUUUCCUGAUCAACGCUAAUCGGAUCAGGGUUAGUCGGGGCCUAAGGCGAACCCCGUUUAAUGGGGAUAGUCGAUGGGAAACCGGUUAAUAUUCCGGUACCUGCUUAUGCUGCGAUGGGGUGACGGAGAUGUGAAAGGUCCGCGUACUGACGGAAUAGUACGUUAAAGGUUGUAGGUAUAUCUGUGGUAGGUAAAUCCGCCACGGAUGCCGAAACUGAUAGUACCGAGAGGCUUCGGCCAAUCGGAUAGUGACCCUAAUCAUGCUUCCAAGAAAAACCUCUAAGCUUCAGGUAUAAGCAGCCCGUACCGUAAACCGACACAGGUGGCUGAGGAGAAUAUCCUAAGGUGCUCGAGUGAUUCACGGUUAAGGAACUCGGCAAAUUGGCUCCGUAACUUCGGGAGAAGGAGCGCCUCCCUCCGGCUUGCCGGAGAAGGCCGCAGAGAAUAGGCCCAGGCGACUGUUUAUCAAAAACACAGGGCUCUGCUAAAUCGAAAGAUGAUGUAUAGGGCCUGAUACCUGCCCGGUGCCGGAAGGUUAAGGGGAGGUGUUAUCCGCUUCGGCGGAGAAGCACUGAACUGAAGCCCCGGUAAACGGCGGCCGUAACUAUAACGGUCCUAAGGUAGCGAAAUUCCUUGUCGGGUAAGUUCCGACCUGCACGAAUGGUGUAACGAUCUGGGCACUGUCUCAACCGUGAGCUCGGUGAAAUUGUAACCCCGGUGAAGAUGCCGGGUACCCGCAGCGGGACGGAAAGACCCCGUGAACCUUUACUACAGCUUCACAUUGACUUUGGGUAAUUGAUGUGUAGGAUAGGUGGGAGACUGUGAAGCCGGGGCGCCAGCUCCGGUGGAGUCGCCGUUGAAAUACCACCCUUCAAUUGCCUGAAGUCUAAUCCGCCAAAAGCGGAGACAUUGUGUGGCGGGUAGUUUGACUGGGGUGGUCGCCUCCAAAAAAGUAUCGGAGGCUUCCAAAGGUACCCUCAGCACGCUUGGUAACCGUGCGUAGAGUGCAAUGGCAUAAGGGUGCUUAACUGUGAGACCGACAAGUCGAGCAGGUACGAAAGUAGGGCAUAGUGAUCCGGUGGUUCCGAAUGGAAGGGCCAUCGCUCAAAGGAUAAAAGGUACUCCGGGGAUAACAGGCUGAUCUCCCCCAAGAGCUCACAUCGACGGGGAGGUUUGGCACCUCGAUGUCGGCUCGUCACAUCCUGGGGCUGGAGCAGGUCCCAAGGGUUCGGCUGUUCGCCGAUUAAAGUGGCACGCGAGCUGGGUUCAGAACGUCGUGAGACAGUUCGGUCCCUAUCUGCUGUGGGCGUUGGAGAAUUGAGGGGAGCUGACCUUAGUACGAGAGGACCGGGUCGGACGAACCUCUGGUGUACCAGUUGUGCCGCCAGGUGCACCGCUGGGUAGCUAUGUUCGGACGGGAUAAGCACUGAAAGCAUCUAAGUGCGAAGCCCACCCCAAGAUGAGUUCUCCCUUGAGGGCCGUCGAAGACUACGACGUUGAUAGGCUGCAGGUGUAAAGGCAGAGAUGCCAAAGCUGAGCAGUACUAAUAGCCCGAUCGGCUUUCU
rnacentral:rRNA from 1 species